rnacentral:lncRNA from 1 species
GGCGGCCGGGCCGCGGGGUGGGGGCACGGACGAGGUCGCCCAGCCAAGCGCGGCCAGGCCUUUGCCCCACCACCGUCCGCGCUGGCCGAGAGUGCCCACCUGCUGUCUCUGGGCCCUGGCACCAGCCCGGCCGCCUCCGCGCCCCACCCGCAGCUUGCACGGUGCGGUGUUGAAGGGCAAGCCUGGCUCUCCCGGCCCACAGCAGCUGAGCUCGCGGGCGUGGGUGGGAAAGGGGAGGCCGGGUCAAGGGCCGCUGCCCGGAAGGAAGAGCCCUCGAGGCGCCCUCCCGUCCCUGUUCCCGGAGCCGCUCUCCAGGCUGGCGGGCGGGGCCGGUGGCCGGGGCGUGACCCUGUCUCCGAGAGGAAGCCCCUUGGCCAGCUGGGGCCGGGCAGGUAGAUAGGUGGGACAAGGUCAGCUAGGGCAAGGGGGCAGCGAGGUCCCCUCUGGAGAAGCAGGAUGGCCGGGGACCCAAGUCCUUACCACCCAGGGCAGAGCAGGGACGCCCAGGCCUGGGCAGACCCACCAGGGCCGGUGCCCUCGGCUGUCUCCCCGUGUCCCGCCAGGGCUCCGAGACCCUGCAUCUGUGGGUCAGGGCUGCUCUCACGUGGCUGCUGUCACGCAGUGGGACCUCGUGUGUGGGGAUGGCUGGAAGGUCCCCCUGCAGCACACGGGCCACCUCCUGGGCUGCCUGCUGGGCGCGGUGCUCCCGGGUGCUGGCUGCGACAGGGGAGCCCUGCCCCUCAUGCCCUCUCCUCGCCACCUUCCUCCCGGUGCCAUCUGUGUCCCCACUCCCACCAGGUUUGGCCGCCGGGCUGUUUUUGUGUCCUCCCUGGUCCUGGCCACUGUCCUUGGGGCCAGCAAGGCCCUGGCUGCCAGUUUCCCUGCCCUCCUGGCCCUGCGGCUGCUCCACGGGGGCGCCCUGGUAGGGGCCUCCCUGGCCCUCUCUGUGGCGCAGGUCACAGCCAUGCCGCUGUCCCCACCCUCUGGGUCCGGGAGGGGCUGGCCUCUGCGACCCCGGGAAGGAGGUGGAGGAAGCCAGGGCACCCUCACCAACACCACAGGUUCCCAGCCCUGUUUCCCAAGUCUCCCUGCUGGCUGCUGGCCACGGGACAGGUGGCCCAGGCCAGGAGGAUCCUGUGGCACUUCGCGGAAGCCAGCGGUGUGGACCCUGAGCAGGGCUCCCUGGAGGACAGCUCCCUGGCUACAGAGCUGGCCGAGUUGGCUACAGGCAGCACCCAGCCUCGGUACCACUCGGUCCUGGGCCUCCUGCACAGCCACGUCACCUGGAGAAACACGCUCAUCCUGGGCAUCAGCUCGCUGGUUGGCGGGGGCAUCCGAGCCAGCUUCCUGCGCAGCCUGGCCCCAUGA